rnacentral:telomerase_RNA from 1 species
UGGGCCACGGGCAGUGUGGCCUGUGUCUAACCCUGCUUUGCUUUAGCUGUGGAUUCUGUUCUUUUGUCCCCCGCCCGCUGUUUUUCUCACUGACUUCCAGUGUCCCAGGAAAGUCCAGACGUGCAGCGGGUCACCUUGCGGUCCUGUCCGAAGCCUCAAAAAAACGUCAGUGCAGGCGCUCCAGGUUCACCCGGAGCCCCGCAGCGCCCGGCCACCCCGCCUGGGGUCUUAGGACUCCUCUGCCACCAGGAAGAGCUCGGCUUUGUCAGCCGCGGGUCGCCUGGGGUUGGGGCCAGGCCGGGCCGGCGAGCGCCACGAGGACAGGAAUAGAACUGGUCCCCGCAUUCGGUGGCUCCACUGAGCUGCGGGAUGUGCACCCGGACCUCGGCUCUCUCAACC